GCCAUUGGUGAGUUCCCAUUUAGAGUAUCGUGUUCAGUUCUGUGCACCAAGUUAUAAGAAAGCUGUUAUCAAGCUGGAAAAGGGUACAGAGAGGAUUUACGAGAAUGUUGCCAGGACUCGAGGGUCUGAACGAUAGGGAGAGGUUAAGUAUGAGGGGAAUAGAUUGGGUAGAUAAACAAAGUUUCUUGCCCAUAGUAGAAGAAUUGAGGACCAGAGGAUGUAUGGAACGAACUGCCAGAGGGGGUAGUUGAGGCAGGAACUAUCGCAAUGGUUAUAAAACAGUUCGACAGAUACAUGGAUAGGACAGGUUUGGAGGGAUAUUGGCCAAAUGCAGGCAUUAGUGUAGCUGGGACAUGUUGGCCGGUGUGGACAGUUAGGCUGAAGGGCCUUCUUCCAACCUGUAUGACUCUAUGACAUUGUAUUAUAAGAGUGUGUCCACAUAUUUAUCGAGGGAUGGAGAUUCACACCGACUAGGAUUAUUUUACAAUUGAAGCGACCACAGUGAUAUAGACAAAUGUCACAGCUUUACAACAAAGAUUUAAAAGCUCAAUUAAUCUAGUUUUUACAUUAUUGGAAUACGACUAUUGGACCUAUCUAGGCAACCAGGAGAACUCUGAUUCCCUCUUCUAGGUAUAUCUUAUAUGUGUAUGCCCGACUGGACCAAAUUGAGGGAUGUUAGUUAAUAGGCACAAACUCCAGCAUUGUUUUCAUUGACCUGAAGAAGGCCAUUAGCAUGGUCAACACAGAAGAUCUCUGUCGAAGUUCAGCUGUCCGGGAAAAUUCAUCCACACCAUUCGAUGGACAGCCUGGUGGGUCUGGUGGGUCUGGUGUUCUCCAGCAGGGAUGCUUUAACACCAUUUGGUAUUUCUAAAUAUGUGAAACAGGGCUGCGCACUUGCUACAGUCCUGUUCAACCUGUUUUUCACGUGCGUCCUGAAUGCUCUACAGUCAACAUGACCUUGAAAGUGGAAUGUACUUGACAUAUAUGGAGUGGAUGGCUCACUCUUCGACCUCUGGAGACUGAAGGCAAGGACCAAGAAUGAUCUGAGAGGCACUGUUUGCUAAUGACUAACUGCACAUUUGGAGUGCCAAACUUUGAAAGCUCUGAACAAGGCUUGCCUAGUCAGCAUCAAGACCAUGAAUGUGAGACCUUGAACGUUGUUGGCGCCAGAAACGUGGUGACGCUCGUGUACUGCCUAGAAGAGCAGCAUAAUGCACAGCUGGAAGAGCUACUUCCUCACCUGGCUCCAGUACCCUGGUUGAAUCCUGAUUCCCAAUGCUGUCUGUGUGGAGUUUGUGUGUUCUCCCUAUUUCAAUGUGGGCUUGCCUGGGCACCCCUGUGUAAAUCCAUAGAUAAAUUAGUUAAUAUAAUUACCCCCAGUGUAGGAGGGUAGUAGAAUUGAAUAGAACGAGGGGAAAAUAGGUUACAGAGAAAAUUAGUGAUGGAAUGGGAUUGCCCUGCGUGACAUGAUGUGCUGAAUGUUAUUGAAAUAGCUGAUUGAAGCUCAAGGAUUACUGUGCAUGUAUUAAAAUCUUGAAGUUGAUGUUCAUAGUUUAGGCAGCAAGAAUGUAUUGUGCACCGAAUCCCUUAUGGAACUGUAUUGGAAGGGAACUUGAUACAGAUUCUGUGCCCACGAACUUUGGGGUUGCACAGCGGCGCAGUGGUCUCUGCCGUACAGCAGCAGAGACCCAAGUUUGAUCCUGACUACGGGUGCUGUUGGUGAUAAGUUUGCAUGUUUCCCCUGUGACCACGCGGGUUUUCUCCGGAUGUUCCGGUUUCCUCCCACAUUCCAAAUACGUGCAGGUUUGUAGGUUAAUUGUAGGUUAAUUGGCUUCUAUAAAUUGCCUUUAGUGGAAGGAUAAAACUAGUAUAAGGGUGAUCAUUGGUCAGCACAGACUUGGUGGGACAUAGGACCUGUUUCCACGCUGUGUCCCUGAAACUAAACGUACAGUACCUGUGACAUUUUGCUGGACGUCACUGGUCUCACCCACCCAGUGUAUCUCAGCCAUUCUGCACCACCUUCCCAUUGUACCUCUGAUGGUCUCCUGGCCAUGCAUGUGCCUCAUUCAUCAACAAUUCGCUCACUUACUGCAAACAGCAGCUGCCAGUUGGCAUUUAUAUUUUCUGUUCGUUCCUGACACCGAGCCACUGCUACCUAACAGCUUUGGUGAAGAAAGAGGCCAUACAAUCGCUUGUCCAGCCAGUGACCAAAAGAACUGCCCUUGGCUUUCCCACUGCUAACAAUGAAUGACAAAUGAUGCUAUCAAAAUAAAUGGUUUGCAAUGGCCUGCUGAGGAGGAAAAUUGUGUAACUAGCUGUGCACCAUAUGUGGCCAGUUCACUUAAUAACUUUAAAUUGUUGCAAUUUGUUAUAAAGCUGUGAAUAAAACAUCAGAUUUUGACAGU